rnacentral:lncRNA from 1 species
CCAGGUUCAAUAUUUUACCACAUCCAAAUCCUAGAAAAAGUAGGCAAAAGGUUUUAAGCAGUGUUAUGAAAAGCGCGCGCUUCGUCGCUUAAAGCGCGAAGCGACAGAGGGUCGCAUUUGUGGGACUAAAUCGACACGACCAACAAAAUCGAUCGAUUAACAGGGAAAAGCGAGGCGACGGCGAGGCGACGAAGCGAUCGAUGCGAUCGAUUUUCUGAAAAAAUAGCUGGACCAGUUAAAUAUGGGUUUGAAAUUAGAAAAACAAUUGGUACCAAAAAACAGAGCUCAACCAACGACCGCUCUUCUUCUCCGGUGACGGAAAUUAGGGUUUCCAUCUUCAGAGACGACCGACGACCAACCCAGGUAUUUUUUUCUUCUCCUUUCUUCUUGUUUUUUCUUUCUUCCUCAUCUUCUUCUUCCAUCUUCUUCUUCUACUUCUUGUUUUUUCUUUCUUCUUCAUCUUCUUCUUCCAUCUUCUUCUUCUUUCUCUCUCUGUCGACGUUC